rnacentral:rRNA from 1 species
UCCGUAGGUGAACCUGCGGAAGGAUCAUUAAAAAAUACAUUACACAUUGUUUUUGCGAACAAAAAAAUAAAUUUUUUUAUUCGAAUUUCUUAAUAUCAAAACUUUCAACAACGGAUCUCUUGGUUCUCGCAUCGAUGAAGAACGCAGC